rnacentral:tRNA from 1 species
GCGCGAGUGGUGAAACAGGCAGUCACAGCGGUCUUAAACACCGCCGCCUUCGGCGUAGGAGUUCGAAUCUCCUCUCGCGCA